UACGGAGGGUGCAAGCGUUAUCCGGAUUUACUGGGUUUAAAGGGUGCGUAGGCGGGCAGGUAAGUCAGAGGUGAAAUCUCCGAGCUUAACUCGGAAACUGCCUUUGAUACUAUUUGUCUUGAAUAUUGUGGAGGUAAGUGGAAUAUGUCAUGUAGCGGUGAAAUGCUUAGAUAUGACAUAGAACACCUAUUGCGAAGGCAGCUUACUACGCAUAUAUUGACGCUGAGGCACGAAAGCGUGGGGAUCAAACAGG
rnacentral:rRNA from 1 species